GGGUUGUGAGGUUAAGCGACUAAGCGUACACGGUGGAUGCCCUGGCAGUCAGAGGCGAUGAAGGACGUGCUAAUCUGCGAUAAGCGCCGGUAAGGUGAUAUGAACCGUUAUAACCGGCGAUUUCCGAAUGGGGAAACCCAGUGUGACUCGUCACACUAUCAUUAACUGAAUCCAUAGGUUAAUGAGGCGAACCGGGGGAACUGAAACAUCUAAGUACCCCGAGGAAAAGAAAUCAACCGAGAUUCCCCCAGUAGCGGCGAGCGAACGGGGAGGAGCCCAGAGCCUGAAUCAGCAUGUGUGUUAGUGGAAGCGUCUGGAAAGGCGCGCGAUACAGGGUGACAGCCCCGUACACAAAAGCGCAUGUGCUGUGAGCUCGAUGAGUAGGGCGGGACACGUGGUAUCCUGUCUGAAUAUGGGGGGACCAUCCUCCAAGGCUAAAUACUCCUGACUGACCGAUAGUGAACCAGUACCGUGAGGGAAAGGCGAAAAGAACCCCGGCGAGGGGAGUGAAAAAGAACCUGAAACCGUGUACGUACAAGCAGUGGGAGCACAGGUUUACCUGUGUGACUGCGUACCUUUUGUAUAAUGGGUCAGCGACUUAUAUUCUGUAGCAAGGUUAACCGAAUAGGGGAGCCGGAGGGAAACCGAGUCUUAAUUGGGCGUUAAGUUGCAGGGUAUAGACCCGAAACCCGGUGAUCUAGCCAUGGGCAGGUUGAAGGUUGGGUAACACUAACUGGAGGACCGAACCGACUAAUGUUGAAAAAUUAGCGGAUGACCUGUGGCUGGGGGUGAAAGGCCAAUCAAACCGGGAGAUAGCUGGUUCUCCCCGAAAGCUAUUUAGGUAGCGCCUCGUGAAUUCAUCUCCGGGGGUAGAGCACUGUUUCGGCUAGGGGGCCAUCCCGGCUUACCAACCCGAUGCAAACUGCGAAUACCGGAGAAUGUUAUCACGGGAGACACACGGCGGGUGCUAACGUCCGUCGUGAAGAGGGAAACAACCCAGACCGCCAGCUAAGGUCCCAAAGUCAUGGUUAAGUGGGAAACGAUGUGGGAAGGCCCAGACAGCCAGGAUGUUGGCUUAGAAGCAGCCAUCAUUUAAAGAAAGCGUAAUAGCUCACUGGUCGAGUCGGCCUGCGCGGAAGAUGUAACGGGGCUAAACCAUGCACCGAAGCUGCGGCAGCGAACGUAUCACUUAAAGCGAUUCAGCGGGUUACGAUUGACGGAGCGAAGCGACGUCAAAGCGUAUACAAAGUCGAGUCGGUUUAAGGAUACGUUCGUUGGGUAGGGGAGCGUUCUGUAAGCCUGCGAAGGUGGCCUGUGAGGGUUGCUGGAGGUAUCAGAAGUGCGAAUGCUGACAUAAGUAACGAUAAAGCGGGUGAAAAGCCCGCUCGCCGGAAGACCAAGGGUUCCUGUCCAACGUUAAUCGGGGCAGGGUGAGUCGACCCCUAAGGCGAGGCCGAAAGGCGUAGUCGAUGGGAAACGGGUUAAUAUUCCCGUACUUGGUGUUACUGCGAAGGGGGGACGGAGAAGGCUAUGUUGGCCGGGCGACGGUUGUCCCGGUUUAAGCGUGUAGGUGUGUGUUCCAGGUAAAUCCGGUUCACUUUAACACUGAGGCGUGACGACGAGGCACUACGGUGCUGAAGCAACAAAUGCCCUGCUUCCAGGAAAAGCCUCUAAGCAUCAGGUAACAUCAAAUCGUACCCCAAACCGACACAGGUGGUCAGGUAGAGAAUACCAAGGCGCUUGAGAGAACUCGGGUGAAGGAACUAGGCAAAAUGGUGCCGUAACUUCGGGAGAAGGCACGCUGACACGUAGGUGAAGUGAUUUACUCAUGGAGCUGAAGUCAGUCGAAGAUACCAGCUGGCUGCAACUGUUUAUUAAAAACACAGCACUGUGCAAACACGAAAGUGGACGUAUACGGUGUGACGCCUGCCCGGUGCCGGAAGGUUAAUUGAUGGGGUCAGCGCAAGCGAAGCUCCUGAUCGAAGCCCCGGUAAACGGCGGCCGUAACUAUAACGGUCCUAAGGUAGCGAAAUUCCUUGUCGGGUAAGUUCCGACCUGCACGAAUGGCGUAAUGAUGGCCAGGCUGUCUCCACCCGAGACUCAGUGAAAUUGAACUCGCUGUGAAGAUGCAGUGUACCCGCGGCAAGACGGAAAGACCCCGUGAACCUUUACUAUAGCUUGACACUGAACAUUGAGCCUUGAUGUGUAGGAUAGGUGGGAGGCUUUGAAGUGUGGACGCCAGUCUGCAUGGAGCCGACCUUGAAAUACCACCCUUUAAUGUUUGAUGUUCUAACGUGGACCCGUAAUCCGGGUUGCGGACAGUGUCUGGUGGGUAGUUUGACUGGGGCGGUCUCCUCCUAAAGAGUAACGGAGGAGCACGAAGGUUGGCUAAUCCUGGUCGGACAUCAGGAGGUUAGUGCAAUGGCAUAAGCCAGCUUGACUGCGAGCGUGACGGCGCGAGCAGGUGCGAAAGCAGGUCAUAGUGAUCCGGUGGUUCUGAAUGGAAGGGCCAUCGCUCAACGGAUAAAAGGUACUCCGGGGAUAACAGGCUGAUACCGCCCAAGAGUUCAUAUCGACGGCGGUGUUUGGCACCUCGAUGUCGGCUCAUCACAUCCUGGGGCUGAAGUAGGUCCCAAGGGUAUGGCUGUUCGCCAUUUAAAGUGGUACGCGAGCUGGGUUUAGAACGUCGUGAGACAGUUCGGUCCCUAUCUGCCGUGGGCGCUGGAGAACUGAGGGGGGCUGCUCCUAGUACGAGAGGACCGGAGUGGACGCAUCACUGGUGUUCGGGUUGUCAUGCCAAUGGCACUGCCCGGUAGCUAAAUGCGGAAGAGAUAAGUGCUGAAAGCAUCUAAGCACGAAACUUGCCCCGAGAUGAGUUCUCCCUGAGACUUAGAGUCUCCUGAAGGAACGUUGAAGACGACGACGUUGAUAGGCCGGGUGUGUAAGCGCAGCGAUGCGUUGAGCUAACCGGUACUAAUGAACCGUGAGGCUUAACCUUACAACGCCGAAG
rnacentral:rRNA from 1 species